rnacentral:rRNA from 1 species
CAUGUCUUUUUGAUUAUAAUUUAAGGUCUAAUCUGCUCAAUGAUUAUAUUAAAUUGCCGCAGUAUUUUGACUGUGCAAAGGUAGCAUAAUAAUUAGUUUCUUAAUUAGGAACUGGGAUGAAUGAUUGGACAAGAAAAUUUCUGUCUCUCUUUUAAAAUUUGAAUUUUAUUUUUAAGUGAAAAAGCUUAAAUUUUUAUAAAAGACGAGAAGACCCUAUAGAGUUUAAUAAAUUAAUUAAAUUAAUUUUUAGGAAUAUUUAUUGUAAUAAUUUAUUUAGUUGGGGUGACUAAAAGAUUAAAAAAAUUCUUUAAUUGUUAAGUUAAUAAUUUUUAAUUUUUAUAUUUAAAAUUGUUAAAUUUAAAAUAAAUUACCUUAGGGAUAACAGCGUAAUUUUUCUUAAAAGUUCUUAUUUAAAGGAAAGUUUGCGACCUCGAUGUUGGAUUAAAAUUAAUUUUUGGUGCAAUAACUUAAAAAUUAGGUCUGUUCGACCUUUAAAAUUUUACAUGAUCUGAGUUUAAACCGGUGUAAACCAGGUUGGAUUCUAUCUUUAGAAAAUAAAAUAUAUUUUAGUACGAAAGGACCAAAUAUAUAUUAAAUUAAUUG